GCACUGGUUUAGCUCAGUGGUUACUUCAAUUCUCUUUGCCGAAUUAACUCUUCCGGUAACACGGGAUCGAACCACGGGCGCUGUCCAUUGUUUUU
rnacentral:vault_RNA from 1 species